rnacentral:misc_RNA from 1 species
GAAGUCAGCAAUCAAAUGUUAGAACUUUAUGAACAAAAUCGAUUGCCGCCUUCUGGCGAAGCUGAUGGAAGCAUUGGAGGUGGUCCCACUAAUCAAACCCCUACAAAAGCUCCUACCAACAGCGAAGAACGUGCCGUAGCAGACAAUCAUGCACUUGGUGCAGGUGACCAGCCAUCAAGAGCAAUGCAGAAUCAUAGUAUUGAAAGUUCGAGCGUAGAUUUUAGAAGUCCUUCCAAUCACAAAACAGGUAGUGAAUCUAAGGUUAGACACGAGAUGGAGCCAUCGGCUUUCCAUGACAAAGGAAACGCUCUAAACUCGGUAAAGCAUCAGUCAGAGGGAUUGGUUGAGCAAGACCAUGGAAAUGAUAUGAAAAUA